ACUCAAAUCUGGAUUCUAAACUAAGAAUCUGGUGCCAAUUUUGCUAGGUAAUAUGACAGUCUGCAUACGGGAGCUCCCAGAAGCGCCCCAUAACUGUAGCGGCAAAUCCAAAGGGCCAGUGUCUGAAUCCAAUGUCCAUCUCAUGAAGCACUUGACCUUCUUCUCAGACCCUCUGUUUGUCAGCCAUGCUAAGGUUAUCAGGCCUCCUGUGUGUGGUUGUCAGCAGGUUAAAUGAGAUGGUGCUUGUCCUCCUGAUUUAUAGUUGUAUAUGUCAUCGUAAGUAUCUUAGAUCAACCAGACCCGUGGAGGAGUAGGGAUAGCAUAUGCCUUCUGGUAAAAAUACCCCUCCUGCUUUCUUCUGUUCUUACUGCCCAGCCUUCCCCUUCCUGUCUGCCUCACCUCAGUCCCGCAGUGGGUACUGUCAUCCCUUCGUGCCAGGAGUGCUCCUGGAGGUGAGCACCCGGAGGUCGUUUUCUGUCAGCGUCUUGGCACCUUUCCUUCUCCUUGAGGUUGAUUUUUUAAGCUACAAGCUCGGGAGUAGGAGUUGUGAGGAAACCCAGACGACUGAUAGGGCCUGAGAGAGGAAGAUUUGAGCAAGCCGAGGAGCUGGGUAGUCCAACACUCCAAAGUCUCCCUUGCUUCUCAGACCGCGCGCCCUCCACUGCAGAAGGACCUGGAGACAGCCCAGGUGUCAUCAUGUCUGCCUUCUGCCUAGAAUCCUCUCUCCCAGAUUCCUCCCCAUCAACUACAGCUUUUGUUCUCUCAAUGCCAGGGUGUAAACUGAAGCCAGACCAUCCUCACCAUCCUGAGAAAAAUGCGAAAAAUGAUGACAAUGCAGUGAGUUUGUGAGUCUCCUAAAAGAAAACAUGUAACUUUUGUUCGGAGAUUAUUUCUUUUUUGCUUGAGGAGUAUGAAAAUACUGUCUUUUAUUAAAUCCUGGUGAUAAAGAUGAUACUUAUUUGUCUUGAUAACUUGGGCAAAAUACAAGGCUACUGAGUUACCCUGCGUCCAUUCUUCCACCCAGUCAUAGACGUCCAGAGUCUCCACUGUCAUCUGGCCUUAGCUUACUUAGGUAACUCUUCUCCCUCCUUCCCCAUCCACACACCCCUUGUGCGAGAUAAACCAUCUGAAUCGUCCCCCUCCCCCCCAAUACCGUAUUCUUCCUACUUUCCCACGCACUUCAUACAUUCCACCUCUCUGGCUUGUAAGAGUACUUUCUUUCCCUCAUGUUUGCCUCCUCAUUAAUGUCUCCUCCAAAAAAGCCUUCCCUGAAAGAUGUAAGAAGUACCCAACCCUCCAUGCUGGUGAUCUGAGAGAGUCUUAUUUGUACCUUUACUACAACUACUGUCACCUUAACUAUAAUUACAUGGCCACUGUCACACCAGAUUUUGCAUCUCCAGAGAGCAAGAACUGUGUUUUACUCAUUUCUGUAUCCACAGUGCUUACUAUAUGCUACCUAGUGAGUAACUGAUGCUUAACUAUUUGUUGAGCAAAUAAACAAAAAAAAAGAAUUUUGAAAGGUACUAUAUAAGCACUGGGGACGCUACAGGGAGGCAUCAGACAUAGUCUUUGUCAUCAAGAAGGCUGCGUUCUGGGAGAAGAUAGUAAAUAUAUAUUAUGGUACAUCCAUCUAAUUGAAUCCUCUGCAGCCAUUAAGAAGAAUGAGGCAGGUCAAUAUGUACUGAAACGGAACCAUCUCUAAGAUCUAUUGUUACGUGGAAAAAGCAAGUCGCAGAAGCGCUUGUAAACACCAUUUUUCUUUAAAUAUGUGUGUGUGUGUUUGUAAAUACUCCUACACAUGCACACAUGUGCACACACACCCCUAUGCUUGUAUAUGUAUGAAACGUAUUUGGAAGGAUACCCUGGAAAUUUUCUAACGGCGAUUAUCUCCAGAAAAGGAGACAGGGCCGGGGACUAAGAGUCCGGAGUAAAAGAGAGACUCUGCACCGUAUGCUUUUUCAACUUUUUAUUUUCCUUAUUUAACAAACACUUAGGUAUUAUGUCCUGCGUACUGUUCUCAGCACUUUAGAGACUAACUUGUUUACCCUUCUGAUAACCCUAUAAGUUAUUUUUUUACAAAACAGAUACUCCUCUGCAUGAUACAUGUUAAAUGGGUGACCCAUGCCAGAAGUAAUAGAGAAAGAAGAAAUUUCUCAGGAUAGCUUCAUAGACAGUAGGGGAUUUCAGCAAUCUUGAAGGUUAGGCUUUGGAUACACAAAUCCAGGGCCAAAAAGUACUAACUUUGUUCAGAGAACUUUGGUAGCUGUUUGACUUAAAGAGAAGGUUGAUAGAGGGGAAACGUAGGAGAAAGGGUGGAAUGGGGGCCAAAUCCAAGGCCUUGGAUGUUAGUGUUAGGGGUUGGGACUCUAUCCUAUAACACUAGUGAAUGCACAAGUUGUUGUUGUGUUAACAUGCGAUCGUGACCUGAUCCAGUUAGAACCGGAAAAGAUUAGUCUAAAAGGAGUUAGUGAUUGUGAGAGACCAAGUAGGAGAUGUGAUGUGGAUAAGAUCCGUGAUAAUGACACUGGAAAGAAGAAAUGAAUAUAUAAGACGUUGCUUCCACAGACCUGGUGAUCAUCAGGCAAAGAAAUGAAGAGUAAAGACUCAUAAGUGACACUGACAUUUUCCACAGUUCCAGGAAGCAACAUUUGCACGUUACAGAAACCACCCAUCAGGUAGGGCCUCCAGUAGAAAUGUCUGCAGAUCAGUGAAAAUGAAGCUUUGAUCUAUUCAGAGACCAAAUCUUUAGAGAAAGACUUUGAGAAGCAGAGAGAGAAGAGCAAAGGGCAAGUGCCUGUCUGAGGGGAGAGCCUGCCCAGGACCGACAGAAUCAGAGCCGACAAAGGGCAGGAAGGAGCUCAGGGAGCUGGGGGAAGAGCCAGACUAAGGACGGGGCUCAAAGGGGGUGAAUGCAGGAUGGAAAAUGCUGAGGGAGAUGCCACUGUUUGUCCGCUAGGAUGUCUUUGGUGACCAUCUGGAACAGUUUCAGACCAAGUGGAGGCUUUUGAAGGAUAGCAGAUACAAAUGAGUUUGAUCAAGAAAUUGGACAAUGAAAGGGAGAAAAGAAACAAGAGGAGAUAUAGAGUGGAUACAAGGUUUAUAAGAAGGGCUUAGAGUUUGUUGUUUGGUUUAGUUUUUUGGGUUUUUUUCCAAAAUAUGAGAAAUAUAAUGAUGUUUGAAGGCAGAUAUGGAAGAACCAGUAAAAGGGUUAGAUACUAGAUACAAAAUUAGAAAUAAAAACAAAGCCCCAGCAGGAUCCAUUGGGAGGGAUUGGGAUCAAAGACUUAAGGCCAAUCUUAAAAAGAAAAAACAAACAGACAGGAAAAAAACCCUUCUUUUGAGUCAAGAGUCAAGUGGGAAGGUUUAAAAAAUCCUCUUGGAGUUCCCUUUGUGGCUCAGCAGUUAAUGAACCUGACUAGGAUCCAUGAGAAUAGAGGUUCGAUCCCUGGCCUCACUCAGUGGGUUAAGGAUCUGGUGUUGGCGUGAGCUGUGGUGUAGGUCACAGACGCAGCUCGGAUCCUGCAUUGCGACGGCUGUGGUGUAGGCCGGUGGCUAUUGCUCCGAUUCAGCCCCUAGCCUGGGAACCUCCAUAUGCCGCAGGUGCGGCCCUAAAAAG
ensembl:lncRNA